GACGAACGCUGGCGGCGUGCCUAACACAUGCAAGUCGAACGGUGAACGAGGGAGCUUGCUCCCUCCGGAUCAGUGGCGAACGGGUGAGUAACACGUGAGCAAUCUGCCCCGAACUCUGGGAUAAGCGUUGGAAACGACGUCUAAUACCGGAUACGACGCGGGAGGGCAUCCUCUCCGCGUGGAAAGAACUUCGGUUCGGGAUGAGCUCGCGGCCUAUCAGCUUGUUGGUGAGGUAACGGCUCACCAAGGCGACGACGGGUAGCCGGCCUGAGAGGGUGACCGGCCACACUGGGACUGAGACACGGCCCAGACUCCUACGGGAGGCAGCAGUGGGGAAUAUUGCACAAUGGGCGCAAGCCUGAUGCAGCAACGCCGCGUGGGGGACGACGGCCUUCGGGUUGUAAACCUCUUUUAGCAGGGAAGAAGCGAAAGUGACGGUACCUGCAGAAAAAGCACCGGCUAACUACGUG
rnacentral:rRNA from 1 species